rnacentral:rRNA from 1 species
UACGAAGGGGGCUAGCGUUGUUCGGAAUUACUGGGCGUAAAGCGCGCGCAGGCGGUCCUCCAAGUCAGUGGUGAAAGCCCGGAGCUCAACUCCGGAAUUGCCAUUGAAACUGUUGGACUUGAGUACGAGAGAGGUGAGUGGAAUUCCCAGUGUAGAGGUGAAAUUCGUAGAUAUUGGGAAGAACACCGGUGGCGAAGGCGGCUCACUGGCCCGGUACUGACGCUGAGGUGCGAAAGCGUGGGGAGCAAACAGG